CCUACGGGAGGCAGCAGUGAGGAAUAUUGGUCAAUGGACGAGAGUCUGAACCAGCCAAGUAGCGUGAAGGAUGACGGCCCUGUGGAUUGUAAACUUCUUUUAUAAAGGAAUAAAACGAGGCACGUGUGCCUUGUUGCAUGUACUUUAUGAAUAAGGAUCGGCUAACUCCGUGCCAGCAGCCGCGGUAAUACGGAGGAUCCGAGCGUUAUCCGGAUUUAUUGGGUUUAAAGGGAGCGUAGAUGGGUUGUUAAGUCAGUUGUGAAAGUUUGCGGCUCAACCGUAAAAUUGCAAUUGAUACUGGCAGUCUUGAGUACAGUUGAGGUAGGCGGAAUUCGUGGUGUAGCGGUGAAAUGCUUAGAUAUCACGAAGAACCCCGAUUGCGAAGGCAGCUUACUAAACUGUGACUGACAUUGAUGCUCGAAAGUGUGGGUAUCAAACAGGAUUAGAUACCCUAGUAGUC
rnacentral:rRNA from 1 species